rnacentral:rRNA from 1 species
AGAACGAACGCUGGCGGCAUGCCUAAUACAUGCAAGUCGAACGAACUCUUCGGAGUUAGUGGCGCACGGGUGCGUAACGCGUGGGAAUCUGCCCCUUGGUUCGGAAUAACAGUUGGAAACGACUGCUAAUACCGGAUGAUGACGAAAGUCCAAAGAUUUAUCGCCAAGGGAUGAGCCCACGUAGGAUUAGCUAGUUGGUGAGGUAAAGGCUCACCAAGGCAACGAUCCUUAGCUGGUCUGAGAGGAUGAUCAGCCACACUGGGACUGAGACACGGCCCAGACCUCCGUACGGGAGCGAGCAGUAGGGAAUAGUUAGGACAAGUGGGCGACGAAGCCUAGACUCCAAGCAAUGGCCGCGUAGGAGUAGAGU